rnacentral:misc_RNA from 1 species
GUAGAGGAAUCGAUACCGUGGACGACUCCGUGAGAAUAGUGGUCGUGGUAGUCGUCGUGCUGGUUUCGGACGGUUUCGACGGAACCAUUGUCGACGAGGAAUCCAAAGAGGCAGGGGAUCGAUGUUGCGACCCCAUCCUCCACUUAUUUAUUGGAACAGGUCCCAUCGACUUCAAGCAGUCGGAAACCGACUUUGGCCUGUUUUCCGAGGAUCCUUUCCUCGACCAGCCAGGCAAUGAUCCUUCGUCCAAACGGUUCUUCAGGUUCUCCUGGCUGGUGGAGUCGAGCACUGUUGCUGCAGUCACAGGAACCACGUUGAUGUCUUU